rnacentral:rRNA from 1 species
AAGCGUUUAUGACCAGACUUGGGCUUGGUUAAUCAUCUGGGGUUCUCCCCAGUGCACUUUUCCAGUCCAGGCCAGCAUCAGUUUUCCCCGGGGGAUAAAGGCGGCGGGAAUGUGGCUCUCUUCGGGGAGUGUUAUAGCCC